UUAGAUACCCUAUUAUUCCUAAACCAAACAAAACCUAAAGAAGUACUUGCUACAUUCAUCAAACCUAAAGGAUUUGGCGGUGUUUUAUCUAACCAGAGGAACCCGUUCUAUAAACGUCAAAACGCGAAACAUCUUACCCAAAGAAAGCCCAUAUACCGUCAUUUAAAUCACACCUAAAAGUAAUAUUUCCUCAGGAGACUCAUAAAUUAGACAAGGUGUGGCAUCUUUAGGAAAGAAUAGGUUACAUUUUAAAAACAAGUGGACUCUUUCUGAAAAAUAGAAGAAAAAGGAUUUGUUAGU
rnacentral:rRNA from 1 species